rnacentral:rRNA from 1 species
GACGGAGGGUGCAAGCGUUGUUCGGAAUUACUGGGCGUAAAGCGUACGUAGGCGGCGGAUUAAGUCGAAUGUUAAAGCCUGGGGCUCAACCCCAGAGAUGCACUCGAUACUGGUCUGCUAGAGGGUGAUAGAGGAAAGCGGAAUUCCCAGUGUAGCGGUGAAAUGCGUAGAUAUUGGGAGGAACAUCAGUAGCGAAGGCGGCUUUCUGGGUCACACCUGACGCUGAGGUACGAAAGCGUGGGGAGCAAACGGG